GUUCUCAGCCGACUUCGGAGCGAAUUUCUUAACUGCGUCGCCGACAGACAUGAAUAUAUUGUCUUCACCGAUGAGCUCUGUGAAGUUCGCUGACCGGAGCUUCUGGAUCACUGCUGGCCCCGGAUUGGCGAGAAUCAGCUACCAAUAUAUGAGAUGAAGUGAAGGUGGAUUGAUGCCUUGCUUUAUGUCCUUGACCUGCAAUUAAUCAGCGAUUGUCCACAUUGUUAUCUUCAACUAAUAUGUUACCAGACUCUGAUGCCAAAAGUAUGGCUUACAAUUGCAACACCAUGCUUGUCUGCACGAGUGAUGUACACACAAAAGGUGGAUAUGAUCACCGAAGUGAGCGGUGCGAUUGCAGAAACCCAGAAAAGCUUUUUAUUCUUCUUGGCCUGAAUUAUCCCAAUGGAACAGCACAGUCAUCACAAAUAGUCAAGCACAACCAAGAUGAAAUUAUGGAGCAUGCAGUAUUUUAUCUUACAAUAUACUUGGUGGCCAGAAGAAAUGCCAAGAAGGACGCUCCGAUCAACAUCGUCUGCCAGUUCCACUGAAUCAACAACCCAAGGACUGAUUCCAUGACCGAUAUGAUAUCAGACUUCUUGGUGAAGUGCACAAUGCCAAGGAAGCCCUUGAGCUGCUGAAGAGCAAUGGUGAUGGCGGCACCCGCCAUGAAACCGACGAUGGCGGCAUGAGACAAGAACUCUAUGAUAAAUCCUAGCCUGCAGGUUAACAAUCACCAGCCGUGAUCAGACCACACUCACCUGAAGAACCCAAGCAUUGCCUGAGUGAUCCCCGCAAAGAAUGUCGCGGUGAACGCCAGCCGGCUGUACUCUAACGGAUUCUUGACCGGAUCGAUCUCAUCCUGGAGGAGAGUGCCGAGCAAGAGCGACACAACGGCCACUGGACCGAUGGCUAUAUCUCUGGAGCUGCCCAUCAGAAUGCAAGCUUGGCAUAACCAAUGUCCUGGUCGAAGAUAUCAUCAGAACACAAGUCAGGACUGACAAAUCAAUGGACACCUCAGCAUGCCGUCGUUGUGUGCAUGAACUGUGUGCACAGCAUAGCGUGCUUGCUGACCUGAGGUAUGCAGAGGCUGGCGAUGGUGAGCCCGGCGACAAAGUCCCCCUUGAACUUGCCGAAGGUGUAGUGCCUGCCCCAGUCCAGCACCGGGAAGACGUGCUGCAGGCUGAGCCACAGCUUCUUGGACCUCGGCUGGUCCUUGUACUCCCGCAG